UAUAAUUUUGUAAAAAUGAAGCCUACAGCAGCGGGGAUGCAGACCUCUACAGGCAGGCAAAGUACAAGCUGAGGAGAGGAAUCAGAGUUGCCAAGGAAAGGUACUCUGAGAAGUGGACGAGCAAGUUCUCAGCUAGUGAAUCUUCUUCAGUUUGGAAGGGCUUGCAACAAAUCACCAGCU